AGUGAACGCUGGCGGUAGGCCUAACACAUGCAAGUCGAACGGCAGCACAGUAAGAGCUUGCUCUUACGGGUGGCGAGUGGCGGACGGGUGAGGAAUACAUCGGAAUCUACUUUUUCGUGGGGGAUAACGUAGGGAAACUUACGCUAAUACCGCAUACGACCUACGGGUGAGAGCAGGGGAUCUUCGGACCUUGCGCGAUUGAAUGAGCCGAUGUCGGAUUAGCUAGUUGGCGGGGUAAAGGCCCACCAAGGCGACGAUCCGUAGCUGGUCUGAGAGGAUGAUCAGCCACACUGGAACUGAGACACGGUACAGACUCCUACGGGAGGCAGAGGUGGGGAAUAUUGGACACUGGGCGCAAGCCUGAUCCAGCUAUACCGCGUGGGUGAAGCAGGCCUUCGGGUUGUAAAGCCCUUUUGUUGGGAAAGAAAAGCAGCAGGUUAAUACCACGCUGUUCUGACGGUACCCAAAGAAUAAGCACCGGCUAACUUCGU
rnacentral:rRNA from 1 species